ACGACCUUACUUGAACAAUUUCUGUUCUAUAGGCUCUAAGGAGAAAGAAAUAAAAUCUGGUGGAUGAAUCAUUGGCAUGAGAACGGAGCAGGAA
rnacentral:snoRNA from 1 species